rnacentral:rRNA from 1 species
UACGUAGGCAGCGAGCGUUGUUCGGAGUUACUGGGCGUAAAGCGUGCGUAGGCGGUGUCUUAAGUUUGUUGUGAAAUCUCCCGGCUUAACCGGGAGGGUGCGGCGAAUACUGAGAUGCUGGAGUGCCGGAGAGGUAAGCGGAAUUCCUGGUGUAGCGGUGAAAUGCGUAGAUAUCAGGAGGAACACCUGCGGUGUAGACGGCUUACUGGACGGUAACUGACGCUGAGGCACGAAAGCGUGGGCAGCAACAGG